GACGAACGCUGGCGGCGUGCCUAAUACAUGCAAGUCGAGCGAAGAGUUUCUGGUGCUUGCACUAGAAAAACUUAGCGGCGAACGGGUGAAUCACACGUAAAGAACCUGCCUCAUAGACUGGUACCACUAUUGAAAACGAUAGCUAAUCCCGGAAAACAGUAUUUCUCGCAGGUGAAUAAUUUAAAAGUUGGUUAUGCUAACACAAUGAGAUGGCUUGGCGGUGCAUUAGCUAGUUGGUGGGGUAAAGGCCCACCAAGGCGACGAUGCAUAGCCGACCUGAGAGGGUGAUCGGCCACACUGGGACUGAGACACGGCCCAGACUCCUACGGGAGGCAGCAGUAGGGAAUCUUCCGCAAUGGGCGAAAGCCUGACGGAGCAACGCCGCGUGAGUGAAGAAGGAUUUCGGUUCGUAAAGCUCUGUUGUUAGGGAAGAAUGGAUAUGUAGUAACUAUACAUGUAAGAGACGGUACCUAAUCAGAAAGCCACGGCUAACUACGUG
rnacentral:rRNA from 1 species